rnacentral:lncRNA from 1 species
UUGGAUGUAGACAUUCCUGAUUCAUAUCCAUCCACGCAUUUGUGAUGCGUUUCUGCAGUUCAUCGCAAGCUGUAUCUUUCGGAACUCCAUGUUGUUUCAUAAAACACUCAACUAGUGGUGGCCAAACGGGCGGUCCGGGGCGGGCCGGGCCGAAUUUUCAUCGGGCCGAGUUACAGGAACAUGAUUCGUAACCGGCCCGUUUGAUUAGGCGGGCCGGUCCGGUUCCGGGCCGAAUUCGUCCGAAUCAGCCCGUGAACCGAUUCGCGGGUUCACGAGCUGAAACGGUUCAUUUUUAUAUUAUUUUUUAAUUUAUUUUUUAUGUUUUUUAAUUAAAUAUUUGUUUUAAAUAAUCAUUUUAUUUUAUAAAUAAAAGAAGUCAAGAGAAAAGAUGUCAGGAAAAAAAAUAAAAUAAAGCAUAUUUAGUGUCGCAGGCGCUGGAACUCGCAGGCGGGCCGAAUGAUUCGUUCGAUUCGUAUGAUUCGUUCGAUUCGUUCGAUUCGCUUGAUUCGUUCGAUUCGCCUGUUACAUGCUUUAAUUUGUGAACUGUAAAGUUAUAUUAAUUAAACCGCAAAUUAUCAUAUAUAUAUUAAAUAAAAUUAAAUAAAAGAGGACGAUACCUCUGUAUAAUUUUAUUAAUUAAAAAAAUGUUUUACAAUUAAUUUGAGAGGACUCCAUCUAAAAAAACGGAACAAACCGCAUCGAUAAAAAAAAUAAAACUACACUAAAAAAUUUUAAAAUUACAAAACUAAAUUAAUCUAAUUCAUUUUCAUUCAUUCAUCGAGGAUUCCGAAGAAGUAUCCAGUUCGUUCGAACCGGUUGAUUCGUCCAGCUCGUUGAUUCGUCCAGUUCGUUCGAACCGUUCGCUUCGUCUAGCUCGUUGACUUGCGGUUCGUUCGUUCGGUUCGUUCGUUCGAACCGCGAGUCAUUCGCCCGGUUCUUAGCUCGGUAAUUCGCGGGCCGGUUACGGGCCGGUUACGAUUUCUUAUAUCCUGAUUCGUAUUCGAUUCGGUAUAUUUAACGAGUCGGUCCGGGCCGGUUCAAAUUCGUUACGGGUCGAAUUUUUACGAAUAAUUUGACGGUUCGGUUCCGAACGAGCGGUUCGAAACCGCUCAUUUGGCCAGCUCUACACUCAACAGAUGACGGUAUAUGUUGUCUCAGCUUCUCAAACUGCAAUUGCAACAUAAGUAUAACUAAUUAACCAACAUCAAACUAUAAUUUAUGAUGGACCCCCAAUAUUCUCAUAAUUUAUGCCCGUGAUCUACUCUCGAUCAUAAAUGGGCUUCCGAGGGAAAGAAAAUAUUGGAACACAGUAAUAAUCAUGAUAAGCUCUCCUUCGAACACCACUGUGAGACUUUAGUAAAACUGGUCACUUGAGGAGAGAAUUGCAUUGUCCAAAAAUAAUGUUAUUUUUGCUGUAUAUACUGUUUGUGCAAUGUUCAUAAUCAAAAUUGCGGCGGCAAUCAUUAUUUUGAAUAUG